rfam:Actinobacteria bacterium RBG_13_35_12 RBG_13_scaffold_14986, whole genome shotgun sequence.
AAAAUCCUGUCUGGUAAGAUUAUAGCCGAAUCACCAGUAGCGAGUCUUGGAGUCUUUUGGAGUAAUCCAUAAGAUUUAAGCGUAGACAGUUAGGUAAUAGGCCUGUAAAAAUGAAAUCCCAAUAAGAUUUCUGUGAUUGAGCCCCGAAAUGUCCGACAAUGGGAAGGUCGACGAUUUCAGAGAAGUCGGAAGACCACAUCUUGCUCUCCGUUAAGGCAAGGAGAGCAAGGCUUCCCCGGGGUCAAAGAGCC